rnacentral:rRNA from 1 species
GGGCCCGCACAAGCAGCGGAGCAUGUGGUUUAAUUCGAAGCAACGCGAAGAACCUUACCAAGGCUUGACAUCCCCUGACCGACAUGGAAACAUGUUUUCUCUUCGGAGCAGGGAGACAGGUGGUGCAUGGUUGUCGUCAGCUCGUGUCGUGAGAUGUUGGGUUAAGUCCCGCAACGAGCGCAACCCUUGUCCUUAGUUACCAGCAUUAAGUUGGGGACUCUAGGGAGACUGCCGGGGAUAACUCGGAGGAAGGUGGGGACGACGUCAAAUCAUCAUGCCCCUUAUGUCUUGGGCUACACACGUGCUACAAUGGCCGUCACAGAGGGAAGCGAAGUGGUAACAUGGAGCGAAUCUCAAAAAGGCGGUCCCAGUUCGGAUUGUGGGCUGCAACCCGCCCACAUGAAGUCGGAGUUGCUAGUAAUCGCGAAUCAGCAUGUCG